UACGUAGGGGGCAAGCGUUGUCCGGAUUUAUUGGGCGUAAAGAGCGUGUAGGCGGCCUGACAGGUCUGCUGUGAAAACUCGAGGCUCAACCUCGAGAUGUCGGCGGAAACCGUCUGGCUAGAGUCCGGAAGAGGAGAGUGGAAUUCCUGGUGUAGCGGUGAAAUGCGCAGAUAUCAGGAAGAACACCCGUGGCGAAAGCGGCUCUCUGGGACGGUACUGACGCUGAGACGCGAAAGCGUGGGGAGCGAACAGG
rnacentral:rRNA from 1 species